rnacentral:rRNA from 1 species
UACGUAGGGUGCAAGCGUUGUCCGGAAUUAUUGGGCGUAAAGAGCUCGUAGGCGGUCUGUCGCGUCGGGAGUGAAAACUCAGGGCUUAACCCUGAGCCUGCUUCCGAUACGGGCAGACUAGAGUUCGGUAGGGGAGACUGGAAUUCCUGGUGUAGCGGUGAAAUGCGCAGAUAUCAGGAGGAACACCGGUGGCGAAGGCGGGUCUCUAGGCCGACACUGACGCUGAGGAGCGAAAGCGUGGGGAGCGAACAGG